rnacentral:rRNA from 1 species
GGCCUAAUACAUGCAAGUCGAGCGGACAGAUGGGAGCUUGCUCCCUGAUGUUAGCGGCGGACGGGUGAGUAACACGUGGGUAACCUGCCUGUAAGACUGGGAUAACUCCGGGAAACCGGGGCUAAUACCGGAUGGUUGUCUGAACCGCAUGGUUCAGACAUAAAAGGUGGCUUCGGCUACCACUUACAGAUGGACCCGCGGCGCAUUAGCUAGUUGGUGAGGUAACGGCUCACCAAGGCGACGAUGCGUAGCCGACCUGAGAGGGUGAUCGGCCACACUGGGACUGAGACACGGCCCAGACUCCUACGGGAGGCAGCAGUAGGGAAUCUUCCGCAAUGGACGAAAGUCUGACGGAGCAACGCCGCGUGAGUGAUGAAGGUUUUCGGAUCGUAAAGCUCUGUUGUUAGGGAAGAACAAGUGCCGUUCAAAUAGGGCGGCACCUUGACGGUACCUAACCAGAAAGCCACGGCUAACUACGUGCCAGCAGCCGCGGUAAUACGUAGGUGGCAAGCGUUGUCCGGAAUUAUUGGGCGUAAAGGGCUCGCAGGCGGUUUCUUAAGUCUGAUGUGAAAGCCCCCGGCUCAACCGGGGAGGGUCAUUGGAAACUGGGGAACUUGAGUGCAGAAGAGGAGAGUGGAAUUCCACGUGUAGCGGUGAAAUGCGUAGAGAUGUGGAGGAACACCAGUGGCGAAGGCGACUCUCUGGUCUGUAACUGACGCUGAGGAGCGAAAGCGUGGGGAGCGAACAGGAUUAGAUACCCUGGUAGUCCACGCCGUAAACGAUGAGUGCUAGUGUUAGGGGUUUCCGCCCCUUAGUGCUGCAGCUAACGCAUUAAGCACUCCGCCUGGGGAGUACGGUCGCAAGACUGAAACUCAAAGGAAUUGACCGGGGCCCGCACAGCGUGGAGCAUGUGGUUUAAUUCGAAGCAACGCGAAGAA